UGCCCACUAAAGGCAUUCCAUGUUGCUGCUGGAGGUGUGACAUGACUCGGGGCUCCCUGCCCAUGGAGGGAAUGUUUUUCUCCAGCUUUCCUCUUUGAAACUACUGCUUCCCAAGGAGAAGAGGAGCAAUUUCACCUUCACAGGCUCUAUAUCCUCUGGGCACACUCUUUAUUUUCCUUCCUUCCCUGGCUUCUGUCUCAUCAUUGUCUCCCUUCAUUCACCGUGGACCAUGGCUACCAGACACACACAGAUAAGCUGGGGGCUGAAGUAGCCAUGGAUUUGGGUUGCCCAGCAUGAUUUUCCUCCUGUCCCUUCCUCUGAUAGUGCACCCUGCCCCCUACUUCAGCCACAGUGUGGGCACAUGACCCAGCCUGGACCAGUGCACCAUCCCCUGCUGGUUGCAGAGAUUGGUUCAGAAGUGAGCACAUGACCAAGCCAGGCCAAUCAGAGCCCUUCUUUGGGACGGUUUUGUAGAAACCAAAGGGGAAGACAGCUGCCUGCCUCUGAGAUGCUGGAAGGAUUUGAAUCUGAGGCUGCCUGUGGCCAUCUUUCCUGCCACAUGGAAAAUGACCUGCUGUGAUAAUGGAGAAUAAGCCAACACUCAGGGAACAACAGCACUAAGAGGUGGGGAGAGAGAGAGAGCAGAGGUGUUGACAACACUGAUGCGGGCCUGGGUCUGUCACACCUGGUACAUCCUGUCCUUCCCGCUUACCAAGCUAGGGUAGGCCUUUCACUGAUUUCUGUCUGUUGCACCCGAAAAAGUUUUGUUCAACACUGAGCAUAGCUAGUUGUCACUUCCAGGUGAGACAAUGUUAGGUGACGGGCUCUGUCCUCCCAAGACCUAUCAGCAGCUCUGUCUUCAGAAGGGAAAAUUUAGGAAUCUGCUCGGGGUGAGGCUGAGAGUUCUGAUAAAGCGUUCCUGCAGGUGGAAGUCGGCCACAGCCUGGCUCUGCGGGAAGCAGAGAAGUGCACCCACCUUUCCUCUCUGUGCUCGUCUCUGCAUCACCUGACCUGCAUCUCAUGUGCCCACAGCCUUUCCUGCAUUAAAAUGUCUUCUCAGGAGAGGAUCAGCUAUCAGUCAACUACACCUUCAUGUGAAUUUGAAAUAUUGCAUGCUCUUCUCCAGGAGAAUUCGGAAACUAGAUGUGUAUUUGGGUAAUAAAAAAUACUGUUCCCAUUAGAAGACUUCAGCGAGCAAUGGGUGUAGGAAGUAUUUCUUGGAGCAAAAAGUGGAAGAAGAGUGGGAAAAAAAGCAUCCUUCCAAAACCUCCUAUUUUCAUAUGUAAAGAUAUUCCCGGCUAAAGGGGCUGUGGGGGUCUUAUCCCCUUCCUGGAAGUAUAAGUGAUGAUCACAGGUGCCUUUUGGAGACCCUGGAGAACUGAUAUAGGAGUUGAGAUGCAGGUGAAAUUUGGAGUUCAGCGGUGGCAGGAGCUCAGUGGGUGUGGGGGAGAGGUGACCUUGAGAAGAUAUGAUGGAGAGUUAGCCCAAUCUUGCAGAGCACAUUAACCUUCUCACAGAACCUGAGAUGGGGCUGGAUUCAAUUUCACUUAAUCUGGAAUGUCAGAGAGGCCUCAGCUGACCCCCAGGUGGUAGAUAAACAGGAGCAGCUGAGAGACCUCAGUCCUAGGCCUGGCUCCUUCCUCAUGGUGUCAACUUAAGCAAAUCUCUUUACCCCACGUGGUAGGCUGGACAGUGGCCUCCAGAGAUGUCCAUGUCCUAAUCUCCAGAACCUGUGAAUGUUACUUUAUCUGGCAAAAGGGACUUCGCUGAUGUGAUUAAAUUGAGGAUCUUGAAAUAGGCAGAUUAUCUGGGAGUAUUCAGGUGGGCUCAAAGUAAUCACACAGAUUCAUGCAAGAGCGAGGCAGGAGGAUCAGAGACAGAGAGAAGUUGAUGUGCCCAGGGAAGCAGAGAUUGGAGUGAUGCAGACAGAAGCCAAGGAGUGCCGUUGGCUUGUAGAAGCUGGAAGAGGCAAGGAAUGGAUUCUCCCCUGGAGCCACUAGAAGGAACCAGCCCUGCUGAUGCCUUGAUUUUAGCCCCAUAAGACUUCUGACCCCCAGAACCAUACAAGAAUAAAUCUGUAUUGUUUUAAGUCACCAAGUGUGUGAUCACUUGUUAUGGCAGCAACAGGAAACUAGUAUACACUGUCAUGACUUGAGUUCCUCAUCUGUAAAGUGGAGCCUUGCCAAACUCUGGUGACCUCUGAGGCCCCAUCUAAUUCUCUUUCUCAUAUUUGCAUUCUAUGAUUAUUAUCCUGGCUUUCUCUUGGGCUAGAUAAAGCUUCUAUGUCUUUUCCAGACAUUAAGUCAAGGUCCAGUGCACUAUAACAAGGACACGCUGCUAUUGCCGAGGUGAACCAGAAGCCAGUCACUUGUCUAUUUCCAUUAAAUUAAAAAGUCAGAGAAGAGGUCUCCCCUGCUUAUAUUUGUUUGGAUAUGGAACAGUUUGAGCCUAUUUCAAGGUGUUGGUAUCAUGAGAUGAGAGCUCAAGGUCGGACUCAGAGGACUUGAAAGUCAGAGUGAAGGUGAUAAGCAACAGCUCAUGGUGAUGAAAUUGAACCAAUUUUCAAGUCUAUAAACAGCUCCAAAGCCUCAGGGUCUCAUGAGUUCUGGGCUGGAUGAGCCCUGGUGCAAAUAGUUACCCUGGAGUGGAAGUAGACGUGGAACACAGCGCCAAGGAGGAACAUCAGAACUGAGGGAACCAAGCCGGUUUGUGGAUGGUAACGAGACAGCAGGCACUGGGCAAGGGGCACAGCUGGGAGAGUGCAAGAUUAGCCCUGAGCUAACAUCUGCCGCCAAUCCUCCUCUUUUUGCGGAGGAAGAAUGGCCCUGAGCUAACAUCGGUGCCCAUCUUCCUCUACUUUAUAUGUGGGACGCCUGCUACAGUAUGUCUUGGCAAGUGGUGUGUAGGUCUGCACCUGGGAUCUGAACUGGCGAACCCCGGGCCACUGAAGUGGAACGUGUGAACUUAACUGCUGCACCACCAGGCUGGCCCCACAAUAAAGCAUUUUAAAAUGUCUCUUUCAAAAAUUACUUUUUAUCAUCUGUUUGAGAUAUUGUUCAGGAUGAAAUGGUCAAUGUAGAAUUUUUGUAAAUGUUUAAAACGAUCUAAAUAUUCACCAGUUAGGGAAAUGAUUAAUUAUUUUGUACCCAUAUGAUGGAAUACCUUACAAUUUCAAAAGCUGAGGUAGAUUUAUAUGUACAUAAAGUUGCAGAAUUGUGUGAUCACAUUGUAGUUAAAAAUUACAUAUAUGUAUUCGUGUAUAGAUGAGUGUAUAUUUAGACAAAAAAAAAAUGGUCUCAAAGGAUAUUCAUUGUAGUGAAUAAUAUGGUGGCCUUCCCAGCAUCCAUCCCCAUUACCCUAUUGCACAGUUUGGAUGGAAUUGACCCCAUGCCCAACUCCAGAGGUUGGCCCUAUUCAUGGAGCCAACUAGGAAAAUUUCAUCCUUUCUGCCACAGAGAUUAAUUCAAGAAUGGAAACCAACCCAAUCAAUACUUGGCAUUCCCCAGGCCUCAGUGAUGGGUUCAUAAGUAAGCACAUGGCCAAAUUCGGUCCAAUCAGAGUGAAGCCUAGGAUGUUCACUCCAUGGUUGUUGAGUUUCUCUCUCUCUUCCCUCUCUUCCUUUCCUUUCCCUCCCUACUCCUCUCUCUGAUGAAGCAUGUGGCCCUGUAGCCAGCAAUGUCACAAUCACGAGGUGAGCCAGACUUGGGAUGAAGCUGAUGUCUUGGAAGGUAGAGCAAGGAGAGAGAAACGGAGUCUUUGGUGACACAGUUGAGUGACUGAAUUAAACAAAUCCUGAAGCCUGCCCUUCCUCUGGGCUUUGAGAAGCUCUUUACAUUUUCUGUUGAAGAUGGUCAAAUGAAAUGGUGGAUGUGGUGUUGUUUGUAACAGCCAGGCAUUGGAAACAACCUAAAUGUUCAUUCACUCAGAAAAGGAUUAAAUAAAUUAUGAGAACCAGAAGAUUAUCUUCGUUGUUCUAUCCAUUUUGAAUGGAAUUUUCUCCUGCUUGUUAUAUAGUCUUCAUGGACGCAUGCAUCAAACUGUUUGAAGUGUUUAACCUUGGGAAUGGGGUGUUUGUGUGUGUAUGUGGUCAGAGGGCUGAUGGGAGAAAUUCUUUCAUUUG
rnacentral:lncRNA from 1 species